UACGGAGGAUCCGAGCGUUAUCCGGAUUUAUUGGGUUUAAAGGGUGCGCAGGCGGAAUAUUAAGUCGGCGGUGAAAGUUUGCAGCUUAACUGUAAAAUUGCCGUUGAUACUGGUAUUCUUGAGUGUAUAUGAAGUAGGCGGAAUUUGUAGUGUAGCGGUGAAAUGCAUAAAUAUUACAAGGAACUCCGAUUGCGAAGGCAGCUUACUAAAUUACAACUGACGCUUAGGCACGAAGGCGUGGGUAUCAAACAGGAUUAGAUACCCUGGUAGUCCCUGA
rnacentral:rRNA from 1 species